CAGGAGGGGAGAUAUGUCCCUGGGCAGGGCCCAGCCUGAGUCCGCGUGGAAUUGGUGAACCCCGACAGAGCCAGCCUUUCCUGUUGGCGACUCAUGCAGAGGUCACUGUGGCCCAUCUUCCACCCCGUGGCCAGAAGGACCCAUUAAAACCCGUUAAAAGUGGGAUCAUGAUGCCUCCUCGCUGAAGCCUCCAGCGGUUCCCAUGUCACUCAGGAUAAAAGAAGCAGCAACAGUUCAGACGCUGGAACCUUCUACAGGAGAAUGACAGACCUUGUUAGCCACUACCAGCUUCAGAAUCAGCUAACUCAGCACAAAGCAAGGAUCCCUGACUGGGAAGGAUCCAGGAAAGAGAGAUCAGAGUGACCUCACCAGAAAUGUGGACACUUGGAAGGACACCAGAGACACAGAGAAGAGGAGGCUGGAGGUCCUCAAGGCACCCAGCUCCUGGCCCCGGAUGUGCAGGACUCUUUCUAGAAAGGCUCCCUCCCAGCCGUGGGACUUGACCAUCUUCAUGUUUCUGAUGACGCAGCUGCACUGUUCUAGAAGCUGAGACUGCAUCAGUGCAUAUUCCCUGCUGCCGGGAAGCUUUCAGUCCGAAGAGAGAGAGGAGCCAGGUGCAUCUGGCAAACGGGCAGGCCAAGUUGCCGAACAGCAAUCGCGCCACCCAGUGGCCAAGUGGAGAAGUGCCCGGAAGGCAAACCAGCCCACCGCCAGGAUUGGGAAAGUACUCAAAGAAAGGUGAAAGGAAGGUUAAGCUUUCUCUAGCAAAAAUAGUAUCAUUUGGAGAAAAAUGCUACAGAUGCUAACUGUGGCAACUUCAAUGUCUGCCCCCCCCCCAGCCGGGCCAGGAUUUCAGGGUGACCUUCUGAUGUUAGGGACCGUCUGCCAAAAGACCAGGAGGGUGAUGGGUGGGUCUUCUGCAGAUUUGCUGCGGUCAGGGGUCUGCCCCUUUAAUGGCUCUGCAUUUUCCCAGGAGUCCUUCGUCCCCCUCCCUCUUCCUACGUGUGCCCACUGCAUGCUGGGCCCUGGCUACAAGGCGGCCAGUCAGAAAGGGUGCUGGCCCCGUGUCCCGUAGGGUAGGGGCAGUAGGCGUAGAUCUACAGUCACCGUGACGACACCCACUGGAUGGUACUUGGGACCACUCUAUGCUCGCUCACUGUCGCUAUGCCGCUGAUACACCUGCCAGGGGCCUGUGAACUGUGGCACACCUGCCAGAGGUAGACGAAGCAGAUGAUGAUCCAGAUAAUCGGCAGCCACAGCCCGUUAAGGUAGAUGACGCUCUCGGUCAGCCGCUGCACGUCCACGGACACCAGGUUGACCACGUCACCCACCGUGCUGGCUUUUCUGGAGGCGCUGGACAGGACCAGGACCUGGGCGGGGCGGGAGGAUGGAGACCUGAGCCAGAGGGAAGGACGGGACGAGUGGGGUGGAGGAGGGCAGGGAGGCCCAAAGCACAGACAGAGCAGGAGCACAGCCGCCUGGCCGGUCUGGGGUCUAAGCUGGUCUGCCCUUGCUGGCAGAGGCAGGUCUCUUCCCUAUCUAGCCUCAGUUCACUCGUCUGUAAAGCGGGCUAGUGAAUCUCCUGAGCCAACCUCCCAGGGCCGUCGUGAGAAUUUGGAGAGAUGACCAAAGAAAAAAAUCCUCUGACAUCCCUAAAACACUGUUGUGGUAAGUUAGUAGCACAAUAUAUAAAACCCUUGGGUUCAUGAUGAUACUGGGGAUCGUUUCCUGAAUUCCAACCUGCCCCAGGCACUGUGCUAAAUGAACAGGGUCACCGUUUUCUGUGAUGGGGCCCAACCCGCAACCAGAUGGACUAGGUGCUGCCAUAUCUCAUUCAGUCUACAAUGCUAUGGACGAAUCGCUCUGUUUUUGUGUCACUAAGGGCAAAAAAAGUAAAUGCGAUUAAAUUAA